AUGGCUUUUAAGGAUACCGGAAAAACACCCACGGAGCCGAAGAUGGCAAUUCACCGAAUUCGAAUCACUCUAACAAGCUGCAAUGUAAAAUCCCUGGCGAAGGUGUGUGCUGACUUGAUCAGAGGAGCAAAGGAAAAGAAUCUCAAAGUGAAAAGACCAGUUCAAAUGCCUACUAAGACUUUGAGAAUCACUACAAGAAAAAACUCCAUGUGGUGAAGGUUCUAAGCCAUGGGAUCAUUUCCAGAUGAGAAUCCACAAGCGACUCAUUGACUUGCUCAGUCCUUCUGAGAUUGUUAAGCAGAUUACUUCCAUCAGUAUUGAGCCAGGAGUUGAGAUGGAAGUCACCAUUGUAGACGUAUAA
rnacentral:lncRNA from 1 species